rnacentral:misc_RNA from 1 species
GUAGGUGAACCUGCGGAAGGAUCAUUAACACAAAAAAUCGAUGAUGUUAGUUGUGAGAAAGGUGUAACAGCCCUAUUGCAAUUGAUAUUGUCAACCCACAUCAACCCGCGCACUUGUCUUAGUUUCCCUCUAGUGGACUGGCGAAAGGUAUGCACCACUGUUUACAGUUUAGUUGCAGGAGAGAACUGCAACUUAUUAAAACGUAGUAUACUGAAGUACUGUCAGCAAGCCUGAGGUUCAUAUGCUCUGC